AGAGAGAGACAUGCGCGCAUAUCAAUAAGCGGAGGAAAAGAAACUAACAAGGAUUCCCUUAGUAACGGCGAGUGAAGCGGGAAGAGCUCAAAUUUGAAAUCUUCAAGGUUCUACCUUGACGAAUUGUAGUUUAUAGAAGUGUUUUCUGUUAGUGGAGUGGCAAAAGUUCUUUGAAAUAGGACAUCAUAGAGGGUGAGAAUCCCGUAUUUGGUCAUUCCUCCUAGCGUUGUGAUACACUUUCAACGAGUCGGACUGUUUGGGAAUGCAGUCCAAAAUGGGUGGUAAAUUUCAUCUAAAGCUAAAUAUUGGCGAGAGACCGAUAGCGAACAAGUACCGUGAGGGAAAGAUGAGAAGAACUUUGAAAAGAGAGUUAAACAGUACGUGAAAUUGUCAAAAGGGAAGCGUUUGACACCAGUGUUGUUUUUCCGAAAAUCAAUUACGAAUGUUUUGUUUUUGAGGAGUUAUGACUUCAUCGGCUUGCUUCUUUCUUUACGAAACUUUCUUAAUGCACUUUUCGGUUAACAAGUCAACAUCAAUUUCUUUUGUUGUAAAAGGGUAUGAGGAAGGUGGCUUUCUUUUCGGAGAAAGUGUUUAUAGCCUUGUAGCCUCUGCAAUCGGAGAGAUUGAGGUCUGCAGCGUAGAUCCUUCGGGGUUAGAUACAGUUUGUGCUAAGUUAUAGCUUUUCAUAGACAACUUGUUGACUAUGUUUAGUCUUGUAGCUUACUCGCUUAUGCUAUUUUACCUACGCUUAGGAUGUUGAUAGUCACAGCGUGUAC
rnacentral:rRNA from 1 species